rnacentral:rRNA from 1 species
GACGAACGCUGGCGGCGUGCUUAACACAUGCAAGUCGAACGGGCCUGUCUUCUUUUUUGGGGGUGGGUUGAGUGGCGAACGGGUGAGUAUCACGUGAGUAACCUGCCCUUCGGUCCUGGAUAACCGCUUGAAAGGGCGGCUAAUACGGGGUGGUCCGGUUGGUCCGCAUGGGCUGGUCGGGAUAGAUUCACUGUUUUUGGUGUUUCGGCGGGGGAUGGGCUCGCGGCCUAUCAGCUUGUUGGUGGGGUGAUAGCCUACCAAGGCGGUGACGGGUAGCCGGCCUGAGAGGGUGGGCGGCCACACUGGGACUGAGAUACGGCCCAGACUCCUGCGGGAGGCAGCAGUGGGGGGUAUUGCACAAUGGGCGGAAGCCUGAUGCAGCGACGUCGCGUGAGGGAUGGAGGCCUUCGGGUUGUGAACCUCUGUUUCCGGUGGUGAAGGCCCUGUCCGUGUGGUGGGGUUGACGGUAGCCGGGGAUGAAGCGCCGGCUAACUACGUG